rfam:Triticum aestivum genome assembly, contig: Triticum_aestivum_CS42_TGACv1_scaffold_356683_4DL
CUUGUACUCCCUCCGUCCGAAAAUACUUGUCAUUGAAAUGGAUGUAUCUAGAUGUAUUUUAGUUCUAGACACAUCCAUUUUGAUGACAAGUAAUUCCGGACGGAGGGAUUACUUG